rnacentral:misc_RNA from 1 species
GAUGAAGAACGCAGUGAAAUGCGAUACGUAGUGUGAAUUGCAGAAUUCAGUGAAUCAUCGAAUCUUUGAACGCACAUUGCACCUCUCGGUAUUCCGGGAGGUAUGCCUGUUCGAGCGUCAUUUGUACCCUCAAGCUCUGCUUGGUGUUGGGUGUUUGUUCCGCCUCUGUGUGUGAACUCGCCUCAAAACAAUUGGCAGCCGGCGUACUUGUUUCGGAGCGCAGCACAUUUUGCGAUCCAGAUCAACGUACAGCGGCAUCCAAGAAGCCUUAUUUAACGCUCUUGACCUCGGAUCGGGUAGGGAUACCCGCUGAACUUAAGCAUAUCAAUAAGCGGAGGA